UAAUAGUGCUAUCACAAGACUUCGAAGACAAUGGAGAAGGCAACAUUACUUAAGAUUUUCUUGGUCUCUUUUUUGUUUAUUUUGUUAGGACAAUCAAGCAAUGCCGCGUUAUGUUCUAAGGAUGCCGAUUGCGCUGGAAUUAUGAAAUGCAUAGAUGCAGGUCCCAAAUGUGACUUAACUAGAAAGGCGUGCUUCUGUCCAAAACCUCCAGCAGCUAAUAAUGGAGCAAAAAUGAGUUCACAAGACUGACCAAAACUGAUCUAUUUAUGUUUGUUACUAUAUGAUGUACGCCAAAAUUGAAAUCUGAUUUAGGGUUUUAUUUUUAUUACUUUGCACAAUGCAUUUUACUUUC